GCCGUCCCUUCCACUUCACUUCAGAUAAUCUCAGCCAUUUAAGUCUUAGUUUAUAUAUAUUUAUUUAAGCCUAACCCUACCCUCAUCGUGCUCAUCUCCUCCUCCUCCUUUCUGCCGAUUGUGGAGCUUUCAAUAUCCUUUCCAUCGACCAUCACUCUCCUCUCGUCUGCUUGUCCUUUCUCUCCUAAUUGGCCAGCGCUCUCCUCUGUGAUUUUGGGAGUUCUUAUGGUCUCAGUAUCAGCAACAAUUCUCCUUUUGCAUAAGCAAGUCACAGGUAGCAGAGAGGACGCACGAUGAUGAAAUAUUACCUACCCUUCAAAUAUUGGCUUCCCUCGGAAAACAGCUGAGAAAUGAAGAUGUUGGUGGUUGCUCUAAUCAACUAUGCAAUAGCAAUGACAAUUGAACAUGCACUCAAAAUCCAUCCCAACUCAAAUUACAAAACAUGUGCUAGAAAUAUUCGUCUCCUAUUGGGUUAUAAGGCAAUUGUACUACUUGUUUUGAUUAAUGUUCUCAUUUAUGGUCUGUUACUUCUGAGUUUAUGGGUCUACAUGGUUAUACGAGUAGCACGCAAUCCAUAUCAAGACUUAUAUCUAUUAGUAGGUGAAGAUUUGCAGCACUCAAAGGAGCUAGCCGAAGAUGCAAUCCAAAGGCUGUUUGGCAGGCUGGAGUGAGCCACGGAAUCAAUCUUCUAGUUAGUAUCCGAGUUGUAGAAAUAAUUCCGAUGCUCAUCUCCUUCAGCACAACAAAAUACCCAUCUCAUUCCCAGAAUAUGUUUGAGAAUAGCAUUUGCUAUUGAAUCCAUACUCAAAGCUUGUAAAUCAAAUUGUGUUGAUCUUAGUCCCAAGCUUCAGAUGGUUUCUUGACCUGCAUAUUUAAAUGGGUAGCUUGGAACUCGUAUCAAGAUCUUUACCAUUUGCUACUCCAAGCAUAUAAUGAGUUGAAGAGGCUCUCAAGAAAUGCAUUUGAAGCACUGAGGAGGGAGGCCAAUUGGAGGUGGGGAAACAACGUAAUGCAGGAACUGAAUCAUCAAUCUUCUUCAUCUGUUAAAUAUUGUUUAGUCUUAAUUAUUGCUUAUUCAUUAAUAUUAUGUAAAUGACCUUGUUCAUAUUCCUUGCUGCUACUCUGACCAAAUUGGUGAUUAAUUUCUUUAUUGCUUAUUGCUACUCUGACCAAAUUGGUGAUUAAUUUCUUUGUAUUUCUUGCCCAGCACUGUCCAUGGAUUCAACAAAGUUAAGCUUCUUGUUGUAACUUAAAGCUUGCUUGCUAUCAGUUCAGAUAUCUUGGGUCUUCGAUUGUACCAGGGUAAUUAGCAAAGCUGCUGGUUCAUAGUUAUUUCCUCUUGAAUCUUAGGUUUGGAUCUAUUCAGAAUCAUAGUUGUGUUGUGCAGUAGUUUUUUUGGGUCUUUGGUUAUGCAGCUUGAGUGGGAGCUUCUGCUACUAUUUAUAUUUUGGUUUGGUUUGGUUAUUUUUUAUUAUUAUUUUUUAAUUCAAUGGAGUUAGCAGUAAUUGAUGGAUUAUAUAACAUGGGCAGCUUUCUCUUUUUAAUAA